CCUACGGGUGGCAGCAGUGGGGAAUAUUGCACAAUGGGGGAAACCCUGAUGCAGCGACGCCGCGUGAGUGAAGAAGUAUUUCGGUAUGUAAAGCUCUAUCAGCAGGGAAGAAAAAAGACGGUACCUGACUAAGAAGCCCCGGCUAACUACGUGCCAGCAGCCGCGGUAAUACGUAGGGGGCAAGCGUUAUCCGGAUUUACUGGGUGUAAAGGGAGCGUAGACGGUAUGGCAAGUCUGAAGUGAAAGCCCAGGGCUUAACCCUGGGACUGCUUUGGAAACUGUGCGGCUGGAGUGCAGGAGGGGUAAGCGGAAUUCCUAGUGUAGCGGUGAAAUGCGUAGAUAUUAGGAGGAACACCGGUGGCGAAGGCGGCUUACUGGACUGUAACUGACGUUGAGGCUCGAAAGCGUGGGGAGCAAACAGGAUUAGAUACCCCUGUAGUC
rnacentral:rRNA from 1 species